GAUGAACGCUGGCGGCGUGCUUAACACAUGCAAGUCGAACGAAGCACCUUAUUCUGAUUUCUUCGGAAUGAAAAAUUUGGUGACUGAGUGGCGGACGGGUGAGUAACGCGUGGGUAACCUGCCUCAUACAGGGGGAUAACAGUUAGAAAUGACUGCUAAUACCGCAUAAGACCACAGCACCGCAUGGUGCAGGGGUAAAAACUCCGGUGGUAUGAGAUGGACCCGCGUCUGAUUAGGUAGUUGGUGGGGUAACGGCCUACCAAGCCGACGAUCAGUAGCCGACCUGAGAGGGUGACCGGCCACAUUGGGACUGAGACACGGCCCAAACUCCUACGGGAGGCAGCAGUGGGGAAUAUUGCACAAUGGGGGAAACCCUGAUGCAGCGACGCCGCGUGAGUGAUGAAGUAUUUCGGUAUGUAAAGCUCUAUCAGCAGGGAAGAAAAUGACGGUACCUGACUAAGAAGCACCGGCUAAAUACGUGCCAGCAGCCGCAGUAA
rnacentral:rRNA from 1 species